GUCCACGCCGUAAACGAUGAGUGCUAGGUGUCACGGGCUUUGACCCUCGUGGUGCCGAAGCUAACGCGUUAAGCACUCCGCCUGGGGAGUACGGUCGCAAGACUAAAACUCAAAGGAAUUGACGGGGGCCCGCACAAGCGGUGGAGCAUGUUGUUUAAUUCGACGCAACGCGAAGAACCUUACCUGGGCUAGAAAGUACAGGAAGUCGGUCGAAAGGUCGAUGUGCCCUUCGGGGAACCUGUGGUUAGGUGCUGCAUGGCUGUCGU
rnacentral:rRNA from 1 species